UGAGCGGACCGAAUGGUCGCGGGUCCGUCACGUACGGGCCGGAGGAAAGUCCGGGCUCCACAGGACAGGGUGGUCGGUAACGCCGACCGGCCGCGAGGCCAGGGACAGUGCAACAGAAAGCAAACCGCCGGACUCGCCCAAGUUCUCUUGGGCGGGCCAGGUAAGGGUGAAACGGUGAGGUAAGAGCUCACCAGCAGCCAGGGUGACUUGGCUGGCUAGGUAAACCCCACCCGGAGCAAGGCCAAACAGGGAGCAAGCCACCCCAUGGGGCGGCUGAGGGCCGGUCCGGUCCCCUUCCGACUCCCGGGUAGGCCGCACGAGGCGUCAAGCAAUUGACGUCCCAGAUAAAUGACCAUUGGCCGACGGUCAGCCCCGAGCUGACCACGGUCACAGAACCCGGCUUACACGUCCACUCACGAC
rnacentral:RNase_P_RNA from 1 species